CAUGCAAGUCGAGCGCCCCGCAAGGGGAGCGGCAGACGGGUGAGUAACGCGUGGGAAUCUACCCAUCUCUACGGAACAACUCCGGGAAACUGGAGCUAAUACCGUAUACGUCCUUCGGGAGAAAGAUUUAUCGGAGAUGGAUGAGCCCGCGUUGGAUUAGCUAGUUGGUGGGGUAAUGGCCUACCAAGGCGACGAUCCAUAGCUGGUCUGAGAGGAUGAUCAGCCACACUGGGACUGAGACACGGCCCAGACUCCUACGGGAGGCAGCAGUGGGGAAUAUUGGACAAUGGGCGAAAGCCUGAUCCAGCCAUGCCGCGUGAGUGAUGAAGGCCCUAGGGUUGUAAAGCUCUUUCACCGGUGAAGAUAAUGACGGUAACCGGAGAAGAAGCCCCGGCUAACUUCGUGCCAGCAGCCGCGGUAAUACGAAGGGGGCUAGCGUUGUUCGGAAUUACUGGGCGUAAAGCGCGCGUAGGCGGAUUGUUAAGUGAGGGGUGAAAAUCCCAGGGCUCAACCCUGGAACUGCCUUUCAUACUGGCAAUCUAGAGUCCAGAAGAGGCGAGUGGAAUUCCGAGUGUANAGGUGAAAUUCGUAGAUAUUCGGAGGAACACCAGUGGCGAAAGGCGGCUCACUGGUCUGGAACUGACGCUGA
rnacentral:rRNA from 1 species